UUUAUUAUUGAUGAUGAAAUAACUAAGCAACAUAGAGUCAAGCUCAGAGUUUCAAAUUUGGAACGGGGACGAGAAUUGCAAAAUUUUUCUGAAUGAUAAA
rnacentral:snoRNA from 1 species